GAGGGUAUAGCUCAGUGGUAGACCACAUGCUUAGCAUGUGUGAGGUCCUGGGUUCAGUCCCCAGUACCUCCA
rnacentral:tRNA from 1 species